ensembl:lncRNA
CAGGAAAUGAGAUGACUCAGGCUCAUAAUCCAAGAACUUAGAAGGUCAAGAUGAGAAGAUCAGAAGUAAAGAAAAUAGAGUAAAAAUGGAAAAUCAAGUCUACUUCUCCAUGUGGUCCUAAAAGGAAACUCUUCUGCUGUGGAAUAAUCCUUCUGUGUACUGCGUAAAUUGUGAUGUGAUUGGUUUAAUAAAGAAGAUGACUGAUCAAUUGCUGGAUAGGAUAAGAUACAAGAAAAGGCCAUUGGAGCUCCUGGAACUCCAAGAUUGGGAUUACGGAUGAUUGUAAACUGCCUCAUGUGAAUUCUCAGAGCCCAACUCAGGUCUUCUUGCAAGAACAGCAAGUUCUCUUAUCUGCUGAGCCAUCACUCCAGCCCCAGAUAAAGCAUUAAACUUUUAGUCCAGUAUUGCCAAGAUCCCUCUCUGGUACUUGCAGUUUAUUGUUUUUUUCCAUUGCAUGAGACCUUUGUUGCCUCAAGUCCUAGUAACUCUGCCAGUUUCUAGGUAAAAAAAUAAAUAAAUAAAUAAAUAAACAAAUGGA